rnacentral:tRNA from 1 species
UCCCUGGUGGCUCAGAGGUAAAGAAUUUGCCUGCAAUUCAGGAGACGCAGGUUUGAUCCCUGUUUCGGGAG